GAUGAACGCUGGCGGCGUGCCUAAUACAUGCAAGUCGAGCGAACAGAUGAGGAGCUUGCUCCUCUGACGUUAGCGGCGGACGGGUGAGUAACACGUGGGUAACCUACCUAUAAGACUGGGAUAACUUCGGGAAACCGGAGCUAAUACCGGAUAAUAUAUAGAACCGCAUGGUUCAAAAGUGAAAGACGGUUUUGCUAUCACUUAUAGAUGGAUCCGCGCCGCAUUAGCUAGUUGGUAAGGUAACGGCUUACCAAGGCAACGAUGCGUAGCCGACCUGAGAGGGUGAUCGGCCACACUGGAACUGAGACACGGUCCAGACUCCUACGGGAGGCAGCAGUAGGGAAUCUUCCGCAAUGGGCGAAAGCCUGACGGAGCAACGCCGCGUGAGUGAUGAAGGUCUUCGGAUCGUAAAACUCUGUUAUUAGGGAAGAACAAAUGUGUAAGUAACUAUGCACGUCUUGACGGUACCUAAUCAGAAAGCCACGGCUAACUACGUG
rnacentral:rRNA from 1 species